rnacentral:tRNA from 1 species
GCUGAAGUAGCAAAGUAGCCAAUGCAAAAGACUUAGGAUCUUCUAUCGUAGGUGCAAUUCCUGCCUUCAGCU